UGGACUUUAAGAGUCUCCUGUGUUGGACAGAUCCUGUGUGGCAAUAUCUCGCUUAGCCUGGUCCAAACUCCCACCUCCUGUCCCCGAAUGUGCGUCAGGAACCCAAGACGGGAGCGCGGAGCCCACCUGCUCUGCCCCCAGGCUCUGCUCAAGGUCAGGCCAGCAGCGCCUGCGGAGUUAAAGCUCCACACUCAGCCCCCUGGCCCGGUGUCUCCCUGGCUUGACUGACAGCGACUCUUUCAAUUAUGUGAGAGGAUAUCGCGCAUCUCCAGUGUUCCUAUGUGACCGUGAAAUACAGGUUCCUCACUGUGGGAAAUAGGACUUUCAAAUCUCUUCUUAAAUAACAUCUGAUUGUUGCAAUUUUUGCAUUUGAAAGUCCUUAGAAUUCUGAAAUUCUAACGAAUAUCUGCGGACCUGAAGGAAAACUGAGUUCACUCUAUCCGUGGGGCAAGAUCAUGAUUGAGAAAUGAGGAUCAAUAAAUGACUAAAAAAUCCUGUCUUUCAGUCGACCAUCUGUGCAGGGAGAGAACCACAGUGGGGUGCAGCAAUGUGUGCAGAAAGUCAGAGAGAGAAGGAGCGGUGAGAACACUGAACUCGAGAACAGCGCUGGCCUUUAGACAACAGCAUUCCGUGUCGACAGCACCCACGGGGUCAGUGUGAACCGUGGUAAGCAGAUGGAGACACUGAGGCCCAGAGAAGUGAUCUAGUGGGCAAGAAGACGGACAUCGGAAGCCUAGUCACUACGCUCUACUACCUCUGUUUACUUCUAAAGACAUCAGGAACUCACAGAUACUAGGGUGGACUGAUUGACCCACCAGGAAAAAACCUCCAG
rnacentral:lncRNA from 1 species